rnacentral:misc_RNA from 1 species
UUAACUAUUACAUAGUACUCAGACGACAUAAUAAAAGAGUUUUGGGGUCCUCUGGCAGGCACAGACCAGCCAAAGCCGGUGGUCAUGAGACGGGCCUGCCAAAGCAACAAAGGUAUUGUAAACAAAGGGUGGGAGAUCUACCCUGAAGGGCAAUUUCUCUGUAAUGAUCCUUCCGCAGGUUCACCUACGGAAA